UAACACGCAACCGUUGGUUGAUGCAUGCAACGUCUGAGCGGUGGAAUGCGACCAUUCACUGAACUUCACACCUCAGGGACUGGUUAAUCCCCCCUAAGGUUCAGAUUAGGACGACAUCGAAGACGGGAUGGAGGAGAGGAUGAAGGGAAAGAAGACAGGAGGGAUACUGGUGGCUCCAGGGGCCCUGGUACAUCAAACAGUGACAGGCUGAGGGGCUGGAGGCCCUGGGAUCCUGGCUUGUCUGUCCUCCUCUUUCUUCCUCUCUAGCUGUGGACGGAGGUACAGUGGUUCUGUUGUGUGAGUGAGUGAGUGAGUGAGUGAGUGAGUGAGUGAGUGAGUGAGUGAGUGUGUGUGUGAGAGAGAGAGAGAGAGAGAGAGAGAGAGAGAGAAAGAUAGAGUAGGCACAGGGGUGCUGUUCUACAUGUCUGCCCAAGUUCAGGAGACUGAUGGAAGCUGGCUUCCGUGGCUGAAACUAAUACCAUCAGAUUCCACUGUGGCCUGAGGAUGACCGGAGCUGUGACAUUUUGAUGUCUCCGUGUGUCUGUGUGUGUGUGUGUGUGUGUGUGUGUGUGUGUGUGUGUUUGUGUGAGCAUGUGUCUGCGUGCGUGCUUGUGUAUGUGCGUGUGCCUGCAUUCGUGCAUGUGCGUGUAUGUGUGAUAUUUUGAUGUCACAGCUGCCACAGUUGUACUUCUUAAGUUUCGUAUUGGAGUAGCAGCCAUAAAUACUGGCUGGACACUAGAACAUUGGGACAGCUGGUUUUCCCAUGCAGGGAAAUUCUUCACCUAAUGGUUUUAGGGUCUUUAGUUGUUCCGUCUGAGGAAGACUACCGGUGACAAACGGGGAAGAGAACAGAGAUGCUGGAAAGCUCACGCUGAGCAGGAGAGAAGAAGAGAAGGAUCCGGAAUAUAUCAUGGUGAUGGGUGGCACAUCACUGGCCUAAUUCCACUCAGUGUCAUAAGCGACUUCCAAUGUGGAAAAAGGCAUGGCGUCUGUCUGAGCAUUGUGUCUGUAUGGAAGUGCUCUUUGGGGUUAUGAAAAGCUCUUUAAAAUAAUAUGAUUAUAUUUCCUCUCUCAUAUCUACAAUGUAAAACUAAUUCAAAUGGCUUUCUAGAUUUAUAGCAUAGACUACUGCUCCUUUGCUGUUCUAACUCACCAGCUAAAUUCUGAUGAGCAGCUGAUUAGUAGAAUCAUGUUGUCACGCUCUGACCAUAGAGAGCCUUUUAUUCUCUAUGUUGGUUAGGUCAGGGUGUGACUAGGGUGGGUUAUCUAGGUUGUUUUUUCUAUGUUGGCCUGGUAUGGUUCCCAAUCAGAGGCAGCUGUUUAUCGUUGUCUCUGAUUGGGGAUCAUAUUUAGGCAGCCAUUUCCCCACUGUGUUUUGUGGGAUCUUAUUUUGAGUAAGUGCAUGUAGCAUCUCUGUCGUCAUGGUUUGUUGUUUGUUUCCUUUUGUUUUGUGAGUUACUUAAAUAAAAGAUGUGGAAUUCAGAGCACGCUGCGCCUUGGUCCGUCUCUACACACAGUCGUGACAGAAGAUCCCACCACAACAGGACCAAGCAGCGUGCCCAGGAGGAGAUGGCCUCCUGGACUUACAAGGAGAUCGAGGAGAGAAUAGCCUGGACUUGGGAGGAGGUCUUGGCAAGAUAGGAAAGCUUGCCGUUGAAGCAGACACAGGGAGAGAAGGGAGGACAGCGACGACGCUGAGGUUCGCGGCCACAAAGACAGCCCGAAAGACAGGCCCAAAAUUUAUUUUUGGGGGGGGGGGCACACGGGGUGGUCGGCGGAGCUGAGGAAUGAGCCAGAGACCGUCAGGGAGUCGGAGGAGGAACUCGAUGAAAGAUUCCGGAGAGAGGUGGUGGCGAUGAGAGAGCUGCAGUGUGGGCGUGCUGAGGAGCUGCAGCGUGGGCGUGCACCAGUCCGGUGUCAUCUGCACCGGUUUCACGCAUCUGGCCUCCAGUGCGCCUCCCCAGUCCGGUAUGUCCUGUGUCUCCUCCUCGCACUCGCCCUGAGGUGCGUGUCACCAGUCCGGUGCCACCUGUACCGGCCCCGCGCAUCCGUCCUCCAGUGUGCCUUCCCAGUCCAGAGCUUCCGGCAACGGUUCCCAUUUCAGAGCUUCCGGCGACAGUUCCUAGUCCAGAGCUUCCGGCGACGGUUCCCAGUCCAGAGCUUCCAACGACGGUCCCCAGUCCAGAUCUUCCGGCGACGUUUCACAGUCCGGAACCUCCUGAGACGGUCCACAGUCCGGAACCUCCUGAGACGGUCCACAGUCCGGAACCCACUGAGACGGUCCACAGUCCGGAACCUGAGACGGUCCACAGCCUGGAACCUCCUGCGACGGUCCACAGCCUGGAACCUCCUGCGACGGUCCACAGCCCGGAACCUCCUGGGACGGUCCACAGUCCUUCGCCUCCUGCGACGGUCCACAGGCCGGAGCCCUCCUCUGCGCCGAUGCCCAGUCCAGGCACGGUGUCCAGUCCUGCUCCAAGGCCAGAGCCUUCCUCUGCGGCGGUGCCCAGUCCAGGCACGGCGUUCUACCCGGCUCCAUGGCCGGACCCGUGGUCUGGGCGGGGCCAAAGUCCCGCACCAGAGCCGCCAGCGAUGGUGGCGGAUCCACGAGCGGAGUGGGUACUUCGCCCCGCACCGGAGCCGCCACCGACGCUAGAUGCCCAACCGGACCCUCCCCUAUAGAGUCAGGUUUUGCGGCCGGAGUCCGCACCUUUGGGGGAGGUACUGUCACGCUCUGACCAUAGAGAGCCUUUUAUUCUCUAUGUUGGUUAGGUCAGGGUGUGACUAGGGUGGGUUAUCUAGGUUGUUUUUUCUAUGUUGGCCUGGUAUGGUUCCCAAUCAGAGGCAGCUUUUUAUCAUUGUCUCUGAUUGGGGAUCAUAUUUAGGCAGCCAUUUCCCCACUGUGUUUUGUGGAUCUUAUUUUGAGUAAGUGCAUGUAGCAUCUCUGUCGUCACGGUUUGUUGUUUGUUUCCUUUUGUUUUGUGAGUUACUUAAAUAAAAUAUGUGGAAUUCA
rnacentral:lncRNA from 1 species